rnacentral:rRNA from 1 species
AUGCCUUACACAUGCAAGUCGAACGGCAGCAUGAUCUAGCUUGCUAGAUUGAUGGCGAGUGGCGAACGGGUGAGUAAUACAUCGGAACGUGCCCUGUAGUGGGGGAUAACUAGUCGAAAGAUUAGCUAAUACCGCAUACGACCUGAGGGUGAAAGUGGGGGACCGCAAGGCCUCAUGCUAUAGGAGCGGCCGAUGUCUGAUUAGCUAGUUGGUGAGGUAAAGGCUCACCAAGGCGACGAUCAGUAGCUGGUCUGAGAGGACGAUCAGCCACACUGGGACUGAGACACGGCCCAGACUCCUACGGGAGGCAGCAGUGGGGAAUUUUGGACAAUGGGGGCAACCCUGAUCCAGCAAUGCCGCGUGUGUGAAGAAGGCCUUCGGGUUGUAAAGCACUUUUGUCCGGAAAGAAAUCGCACUUACUAAUAUUAGGUGUGGAUGACGGUACCGGAAGAAUAAGGACCGGCUAACUACGUGCCAGCAGCCGCGGUAAUACGUAGGGUCCAAGCGUUAAUCGGAAUUACUGGGCGUAAAGCGUGCGCAGGCGGUUGUGCAAGACCGAUGUGAAAUCCCCGGGCUUAACCUGGGAAUUGCAUUGGUGACUGCACGGCUAGAGUGUGUCAGAGGGGGGUAAAAUUCCACGUGUAGCAGUGAAAUGCGUAGAGAUGUGGAGGAAUACCGAUGGCGAAGGCAGCCCCCUGGGAUAACACUGACGCUCAUGCACGAAAGCGUGGGGAGCAAACAGGAUUAGAUACCCUGGUAGUCCACGCCCUAAACGAUGUCAACUAGUUGUUGGGGAUUCAUUUCCUUAGUAACGUAGCUAACGCGUGAAGUUGACCGCCUGGGGAGUACGGUCGCAAGAUUAAAACUCAAAGGAAUUGACGGGGACCCGCACAAGCGGUGGAUGAUGUGGAUUAAUUCGAUGCAACGCGAAAAACCUUACCUACCCUUGACAUGCCACUAACGAAGCAGAGAUGCAUUAGGUGCUCGAAAGAGAAAGUGGACACAGGUGCUGCACGGCUGUCGUCAGCUCGUGUCGUGAGAUGUUGGGUUAAGUCCCGCAACGAGCGCAACUCUUGUCUCUAGUUGCUACGAAAGGGCACUCUAGAGAGACUGCCGGUGACAAACCGGAGGAAGGUGGGGAUGACGUCAAGUCCUCAUGGCCCUUAUGGGUAGGGCUUCACACGUCAUACAAUGGUGCAUACAGAGGGUUGCCAAGCCGCGAGGUGGAGCUAAUCCCAGAAAAUGCAUCGUAGUCCGGAUCGUAGUCUGCAACUCGACUACGUGAAGCUGGAAUCGCUAGUAAUCGCGGAUCAGCAUGCCGCGGUGAAUACGUUCCCGGGUCUUGUACACACCGCCCGUCACACCAUGGGAGUGGGUUUUGCCAGAAGUAGUUAGCCUAACCGCAAGGGGGGCGAU